GGAUGAGCCCGCGGCCUAUCAGCUUGUUGGUGGGGUAAUGGCCUACCAAGGCGACGACGGGUAGCCGGCCUGAGAGGGUGACCGGCCACACUGGGACUGUGACACGGCCCAGACUCCUACGGGAGGCAGCAGUGGGGAAUAUUGCACAAUGGGCGAAAGCCUGAUGCAGCGACGCCGCGUGAGGGAUGACGGCCUUCGGGUUGUAAACCUCUUUCAGCAGGGAAGAAGCGAAAGUGACGGUACCUGCAGAAGAAGCACCGGCUAACUACGUGCCAGCAGCCGCGGUAAUACGUAGGAUGCGAGCGUUGUCCGGAAUUAUUGGGCGUAAAGAGCUCGUAGGCGGUUUGUCGCGUCGAUUGUGAAAGCCCGGGGCUUAACCCUGGGUCUGCAGUCGAUACGGGCAGGCUAGAGUUCGGCAGGGGAGACUGGAAUUCCUGGUGUAGCGGUGAAAUGCGCAGAUAUCAGGAGGAACACCGGUGGCGAAGGCGGGUCUCUGGGCCGAUACUGACGCUGAGGAGCGAAAGCGUGGGGAGCGAACAGGAUUAGAUACCCUGGUAGUCCACGCCGUAAACGGUGGGCACUAGGUGUGGGCAACAUUCCACGUUGUCCGUGCCGCAGCUAACGCAUUAAGUGCCCCGCCUGGGGAGUACGGCCGCAAGGCUAAAACUCAAAGGAAUUGACGGGGGCCCGCACAAGCGGCGGAGCAUGUGGCUUAAUUCGACGCAACGCGAAGAACCUUAC
rnacentral:rRNA from 1 species